GAAAUAGAGUUUCCCCCCAAAUUUCCGCAGUCUUCUAAGCGCCCUUGAUAGGAUCUUUAGGAGAGAAGCCCCACCACCACCACCAUCGCUCUGAGGAACUGUUAAUUUUAGUUAAUGAGUAGCAAUUUAAGAGUAAGACUGACCUGAUUCAGGACAGAAAAGCAAGCAGUUAAAACCUUAAUCUUUAACUUUGCUUUCACCUAUCCAUGCAUCUUCAGGGGAGGAGUGUGAGUGUUAAUUUCCAGUGGACUAGACAUCUGGAGAUCUGCCAUCAAAUUCAUGACUGUAGCAGACAACAUCGCUAGUCCCCUCCUGCCAGGAGGGGACAACCAGCUGGCUGAGAAGUGCUCCCAGCAUAGAUGACGUCUAUUGAGGAUGGCUCUGGAAUUCCAGAUUUGGGCUAUUCCUGCAUGUUUGUACGGUUGGAGGCCAAGGCUGGCAGUUUCUGGCAUUUUCUGGCCAUUUAGUGGUUGGAAGCCCCAGAUCACCAGCUGUUCAAUGUCCAUGUUUUAAAUAAACAGUGUUCCCAUCUGC